UCUGUGGAAAGCUAAGAGCAGCAGGCCUGGAGCUUUGCAGUGGCCCCUGCCUCAGGAGAUGGGACCAUUCUGUAGGUUUAUCACCAAAGGCUGAUGCCCAUUCUUCUGUUCCCAGCCUUUGUAGGGUCCUGGCAGCACCUCCUUUCCUCUCCAUCUUGUUCCCUGCACAGAGAGCCAGAUGCUACAACAAAGAAGAACACCAAACACCCAGUAGGAUGUCAGCCUCCAACAACUACAUCCAGUUCUCCCCAUGCCAGCUCUCAGCCUGAGCUUGCGUCCUUCCACACACAAAGCAGAAAGCACCAGGAUGUAGAUUCAGCCACUCCUCUCUGAGAGGUCUGUCAGAAGCUGAUGCACCGAGGACUGGGCUUGAUGACAGCUGCAUGGUCACCAACGAUGCUGAGUGAUGUGGAGUCAGCCUCAACACACCCACCCCAUGCUGAGCAGUGUCCAAAGAAAAGCCUCCUUCAUGGGAAUCUUGCUUAGCCAGGCAGGUGACAGGAUGGAUAUCACUGUCCCAUCUGCCUUCCCAUCACCACCAGUGACCACUCAGGAAGCAGGGGCUGAUGGCUGCUGUUGUCAAGGAGUCCUGCCUCUCACUGACCAGUAAAGAAGAAAUCCCCAGAGACCCUCAAAACCACCCCACUGCCCUGAGCAGGGUCACAAGUUCUUCCAGAUGGGAUGGAUUGACCCAGCCUUAGUUCCAGAGUGGGUGACAAUUUUAUUGUUUUGGAAAGCAAAUUAUUGAUAAUGAGGCUAUAACAUGGACAUAGAUGUAUCUGAUUCAUGAAUGGA